rnacentral:lncRNA from 1 species
AUGAGAGGGAAGAAAAGGAAAGCCAUACAACACAGAAGUAGCUUUGAACGUUUUAGGCCACGAUGUAAGGAAGAGAUUUGUGUGCACAGUUCAGGCUUCUGCAGGUGCGACAAACCAGGCCCACUGUUGAGUUAUGCAACCACCAUCACCUCUACCAUGUCAAAAUACCUCCUAGUAACUACCUAGAUGAAAAGCACUCAGGUAAGGCUGAAUCCAGGCAAGACCAAAAUGUGUCUAGGUGAAAUGGGAAACACUUUGAAGAGCUGGCCAAAACAUUUUUGCCACCUUACUCAAAGAUAUACAGUCCUUAUUCAUCAAAGUUAUGUCUGACUCCUCACUAAAUAGACUUGUAUGAUCAAUUUGCAUUAAUUUCUAGAAAUGCUUUUGCUUACUUUCAGCUCACUAGGAAACUCUGUCCAUCUCACCCCAGUGAUUCAUACAUUUGUCACCUCCAGCAUGAACCCCUGUAACUGAAGUGGAAUCUGAAACCUGUGAAUGGAUACAGAAGGUGACUGCUGACUUUUUCCAUGGUGAAAUGUGCUGUUAGCAGAGUAUGUCUGAAUUCAGGUACCUCAGAAAGCCUCCACUUUCUCUCAGUACCUGUUUACAGCCCUAGCCACCAUUUUCAAAGCAAGUAAAGAAAUUUCAGAGACAGCUGCAUACCUCUGAUGUGCCUUAGAUCACAGGUUUAAAAAAAAAAAACGUGAGAACUAUUCACAAUGUGAAUCUGAUAUCUGAUUUUGCUUUGCACUGUCUGCACCUCUUGCCAAGGUAAUCCUGCUGUGGAAUGCUUUGCUGGAACCUGAUCAUGUUCCUGAAAUAUUGCAGUUUUCCCUGUGUGAUUGGGCUGGGAGGAUUUUUUUUUUUUUACCAUAUGUGACACAAUUCAACAGCUGUUUUUAUUCAUGAAUCCUUUCCUCCUUUCUUCCCCCUUCCUCAAAAUAAAAAACAUUUCAUGAAUGUUGAUUACA